rnacentral:rRNA from 1 species
CCUACGGGUGGCUGCAGUGGGGAAUAUUGGGCAAUGGAGGAAACUCUGACCCAGCAAUGCCGCGUGAAUGAAGAAGGUCUUCGGAUUGUAAAGUUCUUUAGUCAGGGAAGAAUAAAAUGACGGUCCCUGACGAAUAAGCUCCGGCUAACUACGUGCCAGCAGCCGCGGUAAUACGUAGGGAGCAAGCGUUGUUCGGAAUGACUGGGCGUAAAGGGUGCGUAGGCGGGUAUACAAGUUAGAAGUGGAAUCCCCAGGGCUUAACCCGGGUGCUGCUUCUAAAACUGUAAGACUUGAGUGCAGUAGAGGCUAGUGGAAUUCCUAGUGUAGCGGUGAAAUGCGUAGAUAUUAGGAGGAACACCAGAGGCGAAGGCGGAUUACUGGACUGCAACUGACGCUGAGGCGCGAAAGUGUGGGGAGCAAACAGGAUUAGAUACCCUGGUAGUC